GACCGCGUAGCUCAGUUGGCAGAGCGUUGGGCUAGUGUUCGAAAGGUCGUAGGUUCGAUUCCCACCGUGGCCA
rnacentral:tRNA from 1 species